rnacentral:misc_RNA from 1 species
UAAUAAGUGUUUUAUGGCACUUUUUAAAAUCCAUAUCCACCUUGUGUGCAAUGUCAGUCGAUCUUCUUCAUGGAGAUCGACCAAACAUCAACCUUUAUCUUUUAACUCUUUGUCUGAAAAAAUAUUAUGAAUAAACAAUUCAAAAUA